rnacentral:rRNA from 1 species
UACGAAGGUCCCGAGCGUUAUCCGGAUUUAUUGGGUUUAAAGGGUGCGUAGGCGGGUUAUUAAGUCAGUGGUGAAAGCCUACAGCUUAACUGUAGAAUUGCCAUUGAUACUGAUGAUCUUGAGUAUGAUUGAGGUAGGCGGAAUGUGUCAUGUAGCGGUGAAAUGCUUAGAUAUGACACAGAACACCGAUUGCGAAGGCAGCUUACUAAAGUCAUAACUGACGCUGAUGCACGAAAAGCGUGGGGGAGCAAACAGG